UCCGGUGUCUGUAGUUACUCUGUUGGGUAUCGGCGCUCUGAUUGCUCAUGAGAGAAAUCAACUCGUGAAAUAUCUCCAAAAACGGUAUCCUGAUUUAUGAGCAAGAGAUGAUGAUGACAAUGGAAUAGUCCUAUUCUAAGGGCAGAAUAAUAAUGAUGAGCACUACAAAACU